rnacentral:rRNA from 1 species
UACGUAGGCAGCAAGCGUUGUUCGGAGUUACUGGGGCGUAAAGGGUGUGUAGGCGGUCCUCUAAGUUUGGUGUGAAAUCUCCCCGGCUCAACUGGGAGGGUGCGCCGAAAACUGGAGGGCUAGAGUACUGGAUGGGAGAGUGGAAUUCCUGGUGUAGCGGUGAAAUGCGUAGAUAUCAGGAGGAACACCUGUGGUGUAGACGGCUCUCUGGACAGUAACUGACGCUGAGACACGAAAAGCGUGGGUAGCAAACAGG